UGGGGAAUAUUGGACAAUGGGCGAAAGCCUGAUCCAGCCAUGCCGCGUGUGUGAAGAAGGUCUUCGGAUUGUAAAGCACUUUAAGUUGGGAGGAAGGGCAUUAACCUAAUACGUUAGUGUUUUGACGUUACCGACAGAAUAAGCACCGGCUAACUCUGAGCCAGCAGCCGCGGUAAUACAGAGGGUGCAAGCGUUAAUCGGAAUUACUGGGCGUAAAGCGCGCGUAGGUGGUUUGUUAAGUUGGAUGUGAAAUCCCCGGGCUCAACCUGGGAACUGCAUUCAAAACUGACUGACUAGAGUAUGGUAGAGGGUGGUGGAAUUUCCUGUGUAGCGGUGAAAUGCGUAGAUAUAGGAAGGAACACCAGUGGCGAAGGCGACCACCUGGACUAAUACUGACACUGAGGUGCGAAAGCGUGGGGAGCAAACA
rnacentral:rRNA from 1 species